GCCAGCCAGCUCUGGACUGAAACCUCUACAAACUCACUAGGGAACACAGCUGAGAGAUAGAAUGUGGAGUAUCCUGGAGGACUAACACACUCUCUCCCUUCCUUGCUCUCUGGAUCUCCAACACAGAGAUGCGUCUGCGGAGAGACCAUACCAGUAGUUUUGCAGAUAAUACCUCAUGGAAAAUCAGAAGCCAUCCUGAGACCUACUAAGCAUUCAAUAAAUAUUCUCUGAAUGGAUUGAAUGGAUAAGUGAAUAUCACCAGACCCGAGAAGCCACACUUGAUAAGGUAGACUCACCUGAUAAUAAUAGUCAAGCCAAUAAUUUGUUACAAUGUGUCUAUAUGUUUUUUUGAUUUUGAAAAUACAUCAAAGUAAUUUGUGAUCAAAUACUUCAUGGCCACUAAAUUCACUGAAGUAGUUUGUGUCAUUUGUUUUUAAAUGAAAAUAUUUUGGUUGUAGGUCCUUGGUUCUACAGACCUCGAUAUGUCUAGUUAUUUUUCUCAUUUAUUACGGUAUUUUGGGGGAACAUAUUCCCUGUGUAAUUCAGGAUUCAGCUGGAGUUUGGGAAAUCACCAUUGUGGGAUUUUAAAAUCACAGCCUCUGGCUAGUCCCUGCCUUUUAAAGAAGUUUACUGAAACAUGCUCUGACCUUCAAUUUUAUGGGAAGCAGCAGUAACCAGUGGUCUCUGCAUAGCUCUGAGUAUUCCAUUGAGAAAUUUAUUUCUUCUUUUGAUCUUGCUGUACAUUUGGUAUUAAUUUUUUCUUGGUGUGUUUCCAUUUACACAUGAAUGAUCUCCGUCUGUUGUUAGCAGAGCAU